rnacentral:rRNA from 1 species
GAUGAACGCUGGCGGCGUGCCUAAUACAUGCAAGUCGAGCGAACAGACGAGAAGCUUGCUCCUCUGACGUUAGCGGCGGACGGGUGAGUAACACGUGGAUAACCUACCUAUAAGACUGGGAUAACUUCGGGAAACCGGAGCUAAUACCGGAUAAUAUAUUGAACCGCAUGGUUCAAUAGUGAAAGACGGUCUUGCUGUCACUUAUAGAUGGAUCCGCGCUGCAUUAGCUAGUUGGUAAGGUAACGGCUUACCAAGGCAACGAUGCGUAGCCGACCUGAGAGGGUGAUCGGCCACACUGGAACUGAGACACGGUCCAGACUCCUACGGGAGGCAGCAGUAGGGAAUCUUCCGCAAUGGGCGAAAGCCUGACGGAGCAACGCCGCGUGAGUGAUGAAGGUCUUCGGAUCGUAAAACUCUGUUAUUAGGGAAGAACAAAUGUGUAAGUAACUGUGCACGUCUUGACGGUACCUAAUCAGAAAGCCACGGCUAACUACGUG